UACAGAGGGGGCAAGCGUUGUUCGGAAUUACUGGGCGUAAAGGGCGCGUAGGCGGCCCGCUAAGUCGAACGUGAAAUCCCCGAGCUCAACUCGGGAACUGCGUCCGAUACUGGCGGGCUUGAAUCCGGGAGAGGGAUGCGGAAUUCCAGGUGUAGCGGUGAAAUGCGUAGAUAUCUGGAGGAACACCGGUGGCGAAGGCGGCAUCCUGGACCGAUAUUGACGCUGAUGCGCGAAAGCCAGGGGAGCAAACGGG
rnacentral:rRNA from 1 species